rnacentral:miRNA from 1 species
GCAGACACAUUCCAACCAAUCAGCAGCAGACCCUCCCUCCCAGACCCUCCCACCUCCUGGACCGCUCACUAAGAAUGCAGCUUCUGAAUGUAAAAUGGAUGCUGUCCAGGAGGUGGGAGGGUCUGGGAAGGAGGGUCUGCUGCUGAUUGGCUGGAAUGUGUCUG